GAAACCAACAGGGAUUGCCUCAGUAACGGCGAGUGAAGCGGCAACAGCUCAAAUUUGAAAUCUGGCCUCACGGUCCGAAUUGUAAUUUGUAGAGGAUGUUUCGGGUGCCGGCACCGUUCUAAGUUCCUUGGAACAGGGCGUCAUAGAGGGUGAGAAUCCCGUACGUGACCGGUGGCCGAGCCCGUGUGAAACUCCUUCGACGAGUCGAGUUGUUUGGGAAUGCAGCUCAAAAUGGGUGGUAAAUUUCAUCUAAAGCUAAAUACCGGCCAGAGACCGAUAGCGCACAAGUAGAGUGAUCGAAAGAUGAAAAGCACUUUGGAAAGAGAGUUAAAAAGUACGUGAAAUUGUUGAAAGGGAAGCGCUUGCAGCCAGACUUGCCCGGGGGUGAUCAACCGUCUCUCGGGGCGGUGCACUCUCCCCCGAUCAGGCCAGCAUCGGUUUGGGCGGCUGGACAAAGGCCCGGGGAAUGUGGCUCGCUUCGGUGAGUGUUAUAGCCCCNGGUGCAAUGNAGCCAGCCCGGAUCGAGGACCGCGCUCCGGCUAGGAUGCUGGCGUAAUGGCUGUCAGCGACCCGUCUUGAANNNNNNNNNNNNNNNNNNNNNNNNNNNNNCGAGUGUUAGGGUGUCAAACCCUUGCGCGUAAUGAAAGUGAACGGAGGUGAGACGCCGCAAGGCCGCAUCAUCGACCGAUCCUGAUGUCUUCGGAUGGAUUUGAGUAUGAGCUUUGCUGGUCGGACCCGAAAGAUGGUGAUCUAUGCGUGAAUAGGGUGAAGUCAGAAGAAAUUCUGAUGGAGGCUCGCAGCGGUUCUGACGUGCAAAUCGAUCGUCAAAUUUGCGCAUAGGGGCGAAAGACUAAUCGAACCAUCUAGUAGCUGGUUCCUGCCGAAGUUUCCCUCAGGAUAGCAGUAACGUUUUCAGUUUUAUGAGGUAAAGCGAAUGUUUAGGGGCCUGGGGGAUGUAAUAUCCUUCACCCAUUCACAAACUUUAAAUAUGUAAGAAGUCCUUGUUACUUAGUUGAACGUGGACAUUUGAAUGCACCGUUACUAGUGGGCCAUUUUUGGUAAGCAGAACUGGCGAUGCGGGAUGAACCGAACGCGAGGUUAAGGUGCCGGAAUGCACGCUCAUCAGACACCACAAAAGGUGUUAAUUCAUCUAGACAGCCGGACGGUGGCCAUGGAAGUCGGAAUCCGCUAAGGAGUGUGUAACAACUCACCGGCCGAAUGAAUUAGCCCUGAAAAUGGAUGGCGCUCAAGCGUGCUACCCAUACCUCGCCGCCAGGGUAGAAACGAUGCCCUGGCGAGUAGGCAGGCGUGGAGGUCAG
rnacentral:rRNA from 1 species